UCUGAGGUGAACGUGUUGAAGCUGCGUUCCACUGUUUUAGGAUUUUCAGUGUUAAAAUUAAUUAUUUGGAGACGAGAAAAAAGUGGUAUCAGUGACAAAAGUGAAAACAAGUGACAGGAGCCAUUUUAUUGUGUCUGUGGAAGACUUAUUUGGUGAAUUACCAAUACUCUCAAUUUUGCCAAGGCGCCCUUUUUGGUUUCUUCAAGUGCAACGCAUUCACGAGUACACGAGAUUUCAGCUCAACGUGAAUUCCAUCAGAUCACGUAAGUUUAUGGAUUUAUUCAUCGGACCAUGAAAUGUAUUCCCAUGCUUUAGCAUUACCGUUUUUAUUUUCAUUUUUUUUUAAAUAUUACCAAUUUUAUUUCUUCAAUUAUUCGCUACAAAGUACCAUUAACCUAGAAAACAAAAUAAUUUAAAAAAAUUAAAAAUAAGGGAAUGAUGUUUGGCCAAUUAAGAAAGUGUUUCUUGUAGGAGAUGAGUGACCAAGGUUCGAAUGAUUAUCAAUAUCGACUCGUGGAAUUUGUGAACGAAACCACUCUUGAUGGCAAAAUUGCAAUCGAGAUCGUCCUGUCUAGUUGGAUAAAAGAAAAAAAAGACGAGGAGGAGGAUUUUUAUUGUAGCUACCCACUUCCCAAGGAUUAUUCAAAACUGGAAAAAUGGCUCGAGAAGGGAAUAUCGCCCAAAUCUUAAUGGGAAACCUACAAGGUCAAGAUUUUGACUACAGCAGAUUCUAUAAAAAAAGCACAGAUGAAGCUCAACCAUCUCUACAGACAACGUUCAUGAGUCGACACGACAGAUUCUGAGGCAGAGAAAAGUGAGUCGGGACUUUUAAUUUCGAAAAAAAGAGCUCGAUCGAUUUUAGAGAAUCAGUAUCCACUCGACGACAUUUCUGAAGAGGAUGUCGAAGUUGAAGAACGUAGAAGAGUGGAUAAUGACGACCAGAAUGACACAAACAAUUCUUCACUCCGUCAGUCACCGAAGUCAUAUUCUUCGAAUGUGGAAGAGACCUUACAGACAGAUACGACAAAUGUCGCAAAAAUUUAUCAAAGACGACUCUUACUUUUAAAAUCUCGCCAAAAAUUGCGUGAUGACAACAAAAAUGAUCCUUUGAGAAGUAAGCUAUUUAGAUUUUAUUGAAAAUCGAAAAUGUAAAAAAUUUACUUAGCAAAGACUAUUCGUCGAUGUGAAGAUCACAACGAAUUGACUUUCCCUCCUUUUUUCCAUUUCUCUUUUUUAUUCUUCAUCAUUUAUCUGUAUUAUGUAGAUUAACUAUUGGGUAUUCUCUCCAGUGUUCUUGGCCGACUAUAUCGAUACAUCUCAGGGUAUCCUUUCAUGUGAUAAUCGUCUCACCAUCCAUAAUUUCAAAAGAAGCUUCCAUGCUGAUUUGAGUAACCACACACAGGCUGUACAACGUACAGUAAUUGCUUCCAAGUCUUCAGAAAAUCUUCAGGGAAAGAAAAUCGAACUAAUGGAAGACAAAUUGGGAAUGAAAAUGCCAAUGAAGACUCCAGAGGAAUUGGAGGAAUGGGAAAAAUUGUUAAAUUUAGAGAUUACAGAGGAUGUGGCGAGUGUGAAGAAACGACGAGCUGCUUUCGUAUCUAUUCCUUUUUUGAUCAUUUUUUUAUUCAUUCUAGACGUAAUGAACACAUAAAAAUAUACAUUUUAGAUGGAUUUUUUGAAACAAGUCACUUAUACAUCGAAGGAUUGCAAGAAGGAUAUCCAGGGAAUUCUUACAGCCUUGAUAAAAAAAGCCAUCCAAGUUGAAUAUAGUGGCGAAGAAGUGGCCGGCGGUGCUCCAUAUAGGCAAGAAAAGUGAAUGGAAGAAAUGGCUAGGAGCCGGAUAGCUCAGUUGGGAGAGCACCCGAUGCAUAAUCGGAAGGUCCCGGGUUCAAACCCCGGUCUGGACUAUCCAUUUUUUCAGUAAUGUUUCUUGCAAAAAUCAUAUGGAGAAUUAUCCUGUUCCCCUUCCUACCUCAUCCAAAAUCCUAUCCAACGAUUUCCUUUGACGUCACAUGAAAUGUGGAACGCUAUAUAAAAUUCCCGUCUUGAUGGAGCACCGCCGUAUAGUGGGGAAGAAGGCUUUCAAUGCAACUCAGACGUACAACUGCAUAAGAGGAUUUUUGAUUUUAUUGAUUUUACUUCCCACACAAACGAGAUUUCUGAAUUUGUGUGAGCCCGCGAGAUAAUCAACUGAGUAAAAUAAAUAAAAAAAACUUUUCCUUUCAGAGACGGCAAGAACUCUCUCUCCGCUUCCCCUCGCCCAGGGAAGUGGCAUAUUUCUAUAAACACAGAUCUUAUUCUCUAAAAAUAACAUAAAUUAAUUUUAGCGGCAUCGAGAUGAGGAGUUAAUUAAAAAUAAAAUCGCAAAUACCGUUUUUACUUCUAUCGUAGCUAUUAAUGGUGCAAUCUCACCUGUGGCUCGUUACCCACGUGUUCUAUUGUCGACCGGCGACGACCGGCAAAGAUCCAACGGAUGGCCUCCCCGACCUUAUUCCUCGAACAAAACUCGUUGCUUUUGGCCUCCAGGAUGUCUCCUUAAAUUGAUGUCGCGUCGACGAGAAGUUUUCACUAUUUUAUUGCACUCAAUGUUAUUUCUAUUCGCACCUCAAUAUUUAGCGUCCGUCACACGUGUUUUCUGACAAGGGAAUAAUCACAAUAGGCGAGUUGUGGUCGUGCUCGGUAUUAAUGGCGCUGGUGUUUCCGUGUCAACCAGAGGCGAGCGCGCCAACCUCAUUCAAAAAUUCAAAUGGGGUUACUCUACCCUCCUAGCAUCUCUGGAUCGGGAGAUGAUUUUUCAUUGUUAUUUUCCUUUUUAUCUCUGAACGUAUUAUCCGCGCAACGCGAUUAGAUCCUUCUGGCUGUUUUCUCGAGGAUCAGAGGAAACUGGGAACCCUAAUCUUUAUCCUAAUUUCUAACUCCUUAUCAUUUAUUUAAAAUUCAGCCUCUUGGCUAUCCUAGGGGUUGCUAGGGCUGUUCUAGGCCCCUAGAACACCCCUAGGCCACCCUAAACCCAAAACGUAUCCCCCACUCCCUCUUGAUCCCUAAAUCGAGCGGUAUUUUUAUAUACUUGUUGGAAUAUAGCCUCAGUCUUUUGAGACUUGAUUUUUAUGAGUCUAUGCUUUCAAAAAUGCAUCAACAUGAAGAGAGAGAGAGAGAGAUCUCUAGACAUAAACAUAGGCCAUGAGAUCAUGUGGCAAGGGAACUGGGGAUCCUUUGUCACAUUAUGACGAUCUUUCUUUUUGGCCUGGUUGACCAUUUUAGUCUGCUGUGGCAUGUCGUAGGGCACAGACAGUUUUUCCUCGUGGUAUUUUUCUUUCAAUAAACCAAUUACAUUAAAAAUUUAAAUCCAC